UACUCUUCAUAUGUGCUGUGAGUAUUUUUAUAUAUUUCGUCCCUUUGUUUAGUCUCUGUGUCAACGGAGCUUGUGUCUAAUGCAGGGGCUACACUCAUUCAAGAACCUAUGCAAUGAUUUUAUAAUACCGGCUUGGUAAAUUCCCAAACAAUUCAUUUUUUAAUGUAUUAUUAGGAAUUUAAAAUAAUUCACUAUAACAAUCUAUAUUGUGAUGCUCACCCUUCAGCCACAAAGGAGGUUACGUGGCAAUUUGUUCUCUAUGAGUUUCUAGACUGCAUCUAACCACAUGAUGUGCUUCACCCACUUCUUUUAUUAAUCACUACACAGUACAGAUAUGCCAUUUGGUUACAUGGCUUGGCUAAAUGACCUCAGUUCAAUUGCAUCCUAUAGUUUACCUUAGUAUCUGCACAAUUUUUUAAUUGCUUUAACGUUAUAUUAAAUCUUAAGAAACAUUAAAAACAUUAUUUUUAAGCACAGUAAAGUCAUGUAGUUUAUUAAAAACUCUUUACAAACCUUUAUACUUUCACUUUACAGUUUUGUUAGGACAUUUUAUUUUCCAGUCAUAUUAAAUGCACUGAUUCUGUUUCAUGAUCUCAUGAUCAACCACUUCUUUUUUACUUUUAUAAAAUUAAUCUUUUGACUCAAAAUGGAUGCAUUGAUAAUACUGCUACCAAUUAUUUUGAGAGAUAUCUUUUUUGCAUUAAUAUUUAUAGAAGUUGUCAAUAAAUAAUGAGAAUGGGAGCAAGUUUGGUUAAAAUAAAUAGACUCAUUUCAUUCCCAUGUUUUGUCAUUAUAUUGUAAAUGAUGUUUCCAGCACACUGCUCCAUGGCUAGACUGGAAGGCAAUAAGCCAUUUGAAGAAUUGCAACAUUUCGCUUCCAGUGAUCCUUAUGUUUGACCCUCCCAGGUUGCUGUUGGUGCUGCUGAGUCAUGUGUAGUAGGACUCUGCUCUUAUCUCCAGUCGGCCAGGAGGACUUUCACUGGCAGUUGGUCUGUGUGAGUGAGGAAACAUGGAUGAUAUUGCCUUCUGCUGCUGAAUUACCUGCUUUGGUGUACUGGCUAGUUUCACUGGCUAAUUAGUGGAUAUGUUAAUAAUUUUAAAGCGCAGUGUCAAUGCCAGUGUAGAUCAUGAUUUCAUUUUGGUCUGUAACUCCACAGUAUGGAGUUUUGGGGUAGGUCCUCUCCAUAGGCCAGAGGACAGGCAGAGAAAAUUCAUACGAGGGCAUGACUCAGCAAACUGUACUCUGACUCCAAUCAACACUACCAGAGCUGAUCAGCGGCGUCCAAAGCAGAGAGAUACCAACAAAUCCCACUGACUCAGCAUAAAUGUUUGUGUCUGAAAGAAAAAAUCAGUAGAUUUCUCACUCACUCUCUCAUUUUCUACCGCUUAUCCGAACUACCUCGGGUCACGGGGAGCCUGUGUCUAUCUCAGGCAUCAUCGGGCAUCAAGGCAGGAUACACCCUGGACGGAGUGCCAACCCAUCGCAGGGCACACACACACUCUCAUUCACUCACGCAAUCACACACUACGGACAAUUUUCCAGAGAUGCCAAUCAACCUACCAUGCAUGUCUUUGGACUGGUGGAGGAAACCGGAGUACCCAGAUGGAACCCCAGAUUCACGGAGCUCAUACUGCCUGGAAAAAAAGUAUUUUGUAUCCUGUGAAAGGAGAUGCAGCAUUGAGGCCCCUCCAAACCAAACCCAGGCCAGUAAAACGUCCAUGGCCCCGUGUGGACGUUAGUUAUCUACUAACCACAUCUCCAUCUCUGGAAAUGGUGUGGACAGGGCUGUUCCCUCCACGGCUCUGCUCUCUAACAGACAGAAGCAGCAAGCUAAGUAUGCUGCUUGAGUGUGUUGACGUCAAUAAAAGCAACUAACACACUAAGGGGGCCUCUUGUACACACAUCACACGUGAUUUAGUAUAUCAUAUAGAUGAAGAAUGAUUGAAUUAAUUAUUACUAAAUAAAAAUUAUUAUUGUG